AACUAACGCUGGCGGCGUGCCUAACACAUGCAAGUCGUACGAGAAAGCCGGCUUCGGCUGGUGAGUAAAGUGGCGCACGGGUGAGUAACGCGUGGAUAAUCUGCCCUUAAGUGUGGAAUAACGUACCGAAAGGUGCGCUAAUACCGCAUAAUGCCUGGCAACACAAGUUGUCCGGCCAAAGAAGGCCUCUGUUUACAAGCUUUCGCUUCAGGAUGAGUCCGCGUACCAUUAGCUUGUUGGUGGGGUAAUGGCCUACCAAGGCUGCGAUGGUUAGCUGGUCUGAGAGGAUGAUCAGCCACACUGGAACUGAGACACGGUCCAGACUCCUACGGGAGGCAGCAGUGAGGAAUAUUGCGCAAUGGGGGCAACCCUGACGCAGCAACGCCGCGUGAGUGAGGAGGUUUUCGGACUGUAAAGCUCUGUCGAGCGGGAAGAAGUGUACCAUGGCAAUAUCCAUGAUAUUUGACGGUACCGCUAGAGG
rnacentral:rRNA from 1 species